UUGAACAAAGAAAGUAGCUAAACUAGUUGAGAGAUUAAACUUUUGCCGUAUCUGGUCGGCAAAACUCCAAACACAUCUUCCUUUUUAAGAACGACUUCAGUGCCAAUCUCCGUUCUUUUCUCAGAGAAAAGCUUAACUCCAAGUCUUCCAGAGUUGCGGCCGAAGCCGAUUCAAAAUGCCGCUGUUCACCAGCAGCAGCCAUCUUCUUUGUUU